AGAGGUGGCUAGAAAUGCAUCUGG
rnacentral:siRNA from 1 species